rnacentral:rRNA from 1 species
GAUGAACGCUGGCGGCGUGCCUAAUACAUGCAAGUCGAGCGAACAGACGAGGAGCUUGCUCCUCUGACGUUAGCGGCGGACGGGUGAGUAACACGUGGAUAACCUACCUAUAAGACUGGGAUAACUUCGGGAAACCGGAGCUAAUACCGGAUAAUAUAUUGAACCGCAUGGUUCAAUAGUGAAAGACGGUUUUGCUGUCACUUAUAGAUGGAUCCGCGCCGCAUUAGCUAGUUGGUAAGGUAACGGCUUACCAAGGCAACGAUGCGUAGCCGACCUGAGAGGGUGAUCGGCCACACUGGAACUGAGACACGGUCCAGACUCCUACGGGAGGCAGCAGUAGGGAAUCUUCCGCAAUGGGCGAAAGCUUGACGGAGCAACGCAGCGUGAGUGAUGAAGGUCUUCGGAUCGUAAAACUCUGUUAUUAGUGAAGAACAAAUGUGUAAGUAACUAUGCACGUCUUGACGGUACCUAAUCAGAAAGCCACGGCUAACUACGUG